UAACUCUGGUGUCUCCUCAUUUGCGGAUGAAUCUUUCGCCUUUUACUAAAGAUUUCCGUGGGGAGGCACAAUACAAUGAGUCUUGCCUCAUUUUUUUCAGCUCUAUCUUCGGACAGAGU
rnacentral:snRNA from 1 species